rnacentral:rRNA from 1 species
GACGUAGGGCGCAAGCGUUGUCCGGAAUCAUUGGGCGUAAAGAGCGUGUAGGCGGUCCGGUAAGUCCGCUGUGAAAGUCGGGGGCUCAACCCUCGAAUGCCGGUGGAUACUGUCGGGCUAGAGUGCGGAAGAGGCGAGUGGAAUUCCUGGUGUAGCGGUGAAAUGCGUAGAUAUCUGGAGGAACACCGGUGGCGAAGGCGGCAUCCUGGACCGGUAUUGACGCUGAUGCGCGAAAGCCAGGGGAGCAAACGGG